rnacentral:rRNA from 1 species
GAUGAACGCUGGCGGCGUGCUUAACACAUGCAAGUCGAACGAAGCACUUAAGACAGAUUCUUUCGGGAUGAAGAUUUUUGUGACUGAGUGGCGGACGGGUGAGUAACGCGUGGGUAACCUGCCUUAUACAGGGGGAUAGCAGUUGGAAACAACUGGUAAUACCGCAUAAGCGCACAGUACCGCAUGGUACAGUGUGAAAAACUCCGGUGGUAUAAGAUGGACCCGCGUCUGAUUAGCUAGUUGGUGAGGUAACGGCUCACCAAAGGCGACGAUCAGUAGCCGACCUGAGAGGGUGACCGGCCACAUUGGGACUGAGACACGGCCCAAAACUCCUACGGGAGGCAGCAGUGGGGAAUAUUGCACAAAUGGGGGAAACCCUGAUGCAGCGACGCCGCGUGAGUGAUGAAGUAUUUCGGUAUGUAAAAACUCUAUCAGCAGGGAAGAUAAUGACGGUACCUGACUAAGAAGCACCGGCUAAAAUACGUGCCAGCAGCCGCGG